rnacentral:rRNA from 1 species
UACGUAGGUGGCAAGCGUUGUCCGGAUUUACUGGGCGUAAAGAGCGCGCAGGCGGUCGUUCAAGUCGCGUGUGAAAGCCCCCGGCUCAACUGGGGAGGGUCACGCGAUACUGAUCGACUCGAAGGCAGGAGAGGGAAGUGGAAUUCCCGGUGUAGUGGUGAAAUGCGUAGAUAUCGGGAGGAACACCAGUGGCGAAGGCGACUACCUGGCCUGUUCUUGACGCUGAGGCGCGAAAGCUAGGGUAGCAAACGGG